rnacentral:rRNA from 1 species
UACGUAGGUGGCAAGCGUUGUCCGGAAUCAUUGGGCGUAAAGCGCUCGUAGGUGGAUCGGUAAGUCUGCAAAGAAAGACCCGGGCUCAACUCGGGGAACGGUGUGGAUACUACCGAUCUUGAGGCAAUCAGAGGAUGAUGGAAUUCCCGGUGUAGCGGUGAAAUGCGUAGAUAUUGGGAAGAACACCGGUGGCGAAGGCGGCGAGCUGGUCCAUUACUGACGCUGAGGCGCGACAGCGUGGGGAGCAACAGG